GCUCCCUUAGCUCAGCUGGAUAGAGUAUCUGACUUCGAAUCAGGUGGCCGGGAGUUCGAAUCUCUCAGGGAGCGCCA
rnacentral:tRNA from 1 species